GAGGGUAUAGCUCAGUGGUAGAGCACAUGCUUAGCAUGCACGAGGUCCUGGGUUCAAUUUCUAGUACCUUCA
rnacentral:tRNA from 1 species